UUGAUGCCGAUGUGGAUCCUAUGAGAACACACGAGCAAAUCGUUACUCAAGCGGUCAUAGGACAAUCUACGAUUUAUGGAUGGAUUGAUGAUGGAUACUGCGCUUUAUUCAAAGUUACCUACUUAGGAGGUUACAUCAGAUGGGCGGGUGACUACAAGCUCCCCGAAAACGAGAGAUUUGGAAGUACCCCAUACUAUGUGCUCCGGGCGACGAUGGACAGCAAACUCAACGAGACUAUUUGCUGGCAGAAAUUGCAGAAUAUAAGCAGCGAAACGGGGCAGAAUAUAACAAUUUGUAUUCGGGAAGAGCCGCUCCCAGGGUACCCUUGGACAGGUGGCAAAUGAAAAUUUACCUGAAAUGAAAUUCUGUUACAGUCGCUUAUCUCCUCAAUAUACUUUUGUGUGCUUCUCCUGGACCUCUUUGUCAAUUAUUGUAAACUCCUUACACAAGAUUCAUGACCCCAUAAGAAAAAUGGAAAUAUUUUAAUAACAUUGUACUAGACGAAAAUAAACUUGAACAGUAUUCAGCAAGC